UAGCAAUGGGUCUGAAAACACAACUCACGACAAACAGAAUGACGAUACAGAUCUUCCCACCGAUGCUGUGACUGAGCCUGAAUCUAUUACUGAGCUGUCAGCUGAGCACGAGCAGAAGGUCUAUUCACGUGUAGAGAAAGUGAUGAUUAUAGAUUUAAC